rnacentral:lncRNA from 1 species
UCAAAACAAUCUUCUUCUUCUUUAUUUUCGAAGCAAUUCCUCUGGAAGAAAACGGGUUCCACUCUCUGCUUUCUCUGGGAAAACUUUGUUCCACAACCUGGCAGAUAAUCUCGAGCGGGAGGGACAAUUCUCCUUGGUGGAUAACGGUGUCAUCGGUAUUGUGUAUUACCGCGAGGGGACGAGACCACGGUUGAAUGAGAAGACUACGGGGGAAGAACACGACCACGCCGCUGCUUGCUAUGGGUCAGUGGUUGCUGUGGUGAGUCCACGGUGGAGGAAGGCGUAAAAAUUACGGGUUCAGUCUCGAAUUUGUAGCAGUCAACGAAGGACUACGAAUCAAUCACGAUGGUGCAAGUAAGCCUCUUGGGUUUUGUGACCAAAUUGCAGAAAAAGGUUCUGAAAUUUUGGGUCCAAAUGGAUGCUGCUGGUCUUCUAUUUUCUGUGCAGGUUUGAUCUUUGCAGCAAAAAAUCACGAUUGAAAUGGGUUGUCUGAGGGCCUAAUUGGACUGUAAAAACUUUCUGAAUACAAGUUUUUUAAAUUCUGAUAAUUGUUGGAUGAAUUUGUAUGAUGAAAUGGUUCAAUUUCAAAAAGAAUUUUGUUUUCUGUCGAAUGAAAUGGUGUAGGAGAAUAUAGUUCGAAUUGUUGGGUUAAUUCAGGCCUGGGUUCAAACGGGUUGUAGGAUGGAAUUUCAGACAUAAAUGUUUUAGUAUUUUUGUGGGUUUUGGAUUCUGCAAGAAAAUUCUCAAAUGCCAAUUUGGAACUUUCAAUCAAAAUCGGUUGAAUAUUUUCCUUAUCCACGAACGUUCUCUUUCCUAAUUUCUUCUCAAGUUGAAACUUAGAAAGAAUGUUGUUGGAUUCGUUACUUGACGAAGAGGAAGUCUCAGAUGUAGUUUGAGACAUCCUCGGAUGAAAAUUGGGCAAAUUGUUUUGAUUUAUGUAACUUGGCUCUGAGGCCAAUGAUAGAAAUUGGGUAGUUCACAGGAUCGGAAACAGAUUUUGUUAGACUAUCGAUCAUAAUAAUAUGGUGUGAAGGAUAUGAACUACCCUUAGGAUUGGAGAUACCAUUUGAGAGCUUACGAGGUCUACCAGGCUUUCGUUUAUUUCCUUCUCCAACUUGAGUCGUCUUCCCCUUACCCUUGCUAUGUAAAACAGUUGCCCCUUAUUGCUCUUUCUGUUGGAAAUGUGCCCUAAAGCCAAUCAUAUGAUGAUACUUUACGGACAUUUCACAUGUUAAACUAAUCUAGUUUAACUAUAAAGGGCAAAGAUUAUUGUUUGAGCCGUCUCAUAUAAAUGUUAUAUGCUUAAACGAUAAAGUCCAAGGAAUAUGUGAUUGGGAGAAUGCGAUCUAAAGAAGUUAGAUUCAUGAGACCAAUCUUUCGUAGACACAUCCUAAAUGUUCCUGAUCAUAGGAUUGCCAAUUGGGCAUUGACAGUCCGUUAAGAUCAGUACGUACUGUGUCUUCUCUCAGGGAGAGUGACUAGUCUCGAGUUAUUGGUGUGUGUGACAUCAAGACAAGUACGUAGGUGCUCAAUAGAGAAUGAGUUCACUGAACACGAUCAACGAAGAGUUCUCAUAUUCAUGUCACAUGAGAACUCACGGUUGGGAUAAUGCAAAGUAGUCAUUUGACCUGAGGCAUCACAGUUGUCUUAUGGUUAAGUCCUUGAUCUUUGAUUAUGUCAAAGUCACCCCAUCGGGGUGUCCACGACAUCAUUGGGGUUAAGCCACUUAGUCAUGGAGACAAGUGAAUGCGCAACAAGGGAUCUCUAACCUUCAAACCGUUUGAGGGAGAAUACUCUAUGAUAUGAUUUAAAACCUCUGGCCAGAGUAUGAAUGAGAUUUAGAAAUGUCGUUCUAAAUCACAUUCAAGGUAAUCAUAUAAGCACACGAAUCACAUUGGAUAGUAGACAUGAAUAAAUAAACUAUCAAACCAAACAAUGUGGUCAAGAAUAUUGUAUUAGAGAAAGACCGUAUUGCAUUUGUAAUCCUAAACUGAAUAGGUUCUCCACCUCUUCUGAUUAGCUUGGGUAACCAUGAUAUGCUGCUAGGUGUCACUCAUGGUUUGUGGAAGCCCUAAAGGUGUGUAAUCACUAAAGGGAGAAUUGAAAGUAAGUUUCAAUUCACAAUCGAUGUAAAAUGGUUUUAAUCGCCCACUGCCUCACUAAAAGGAACCUAAUGGAUCGUACACCGUGUAAGGUGGAGAUUGAAGAAACAAUGGAGAUGAGUAAGAAUAAUUAAAUGGUUUAAUUAUUUAU